UGGCGAACGGGUGGAGUAACAACGUGGGGCGAACCUAGCCCAAAAGAAGGGGGAGUAACAACUUGGAAACAGGUGCUAAUACCGCAUAACCAUAGUUACCGCAUGGUAACUAUGUAAAAGGUGGCUAUGCUACCGCUUUUGGAUGGGCCCGCGGCGCAUUAGCUAGUUGGUGGGGUAAAGGCUUACCAAGGCAAUGAUGCGUAGCCGAACUGAGAGGUUGAUCGGCCACAUUGGGACUGAGACACGGCCCAAACUCCUACGGGAGGCAGCAG
rnacentral:rRNA from 1 species